rnacentral:rRNA from 1 species
AACGAACGCUGGCGGCAUGCCUAACACAUGCAAGUCGAACGAGACCUUCGGGUCUAGUGGCGCACGGGUGCGUAACGCGUGGGAACCUGCCCUUAGGUUCGGAAUAACUCCCCGAAAGGGGUGCUAAUACCGGAUAAUGUCUUCGGACCAAAGAUUUAUCGACUUUGGAUGGGCCCGCGUUGGAUUAGCUAGUUGGUAUGGUAAAAGCCUACCAAGGCGACGAUCCAUAGCUGGUCUGAGAGGAUGAUCAGCCACACUGGGACUGAGACGCGGCCCAGACUCCUACGGGAGGCAGCAGUGGGGAAUAUUGGACAAUGGGCGAAAGCCUGAUCCAGCAAUGCCGCGUGAGUGAUGAAGGCAUUAGGGUUGUAAAGCUCUUUUACCCGGGAUGAUAAUGACAGUACCGGGAGAAUAAGCUCCGGCUAACUCCGUG